rnacentral:miRNA from 14 species
UCACCUGGGGAGCUUGCUAAAAUGCACAUUCUGAUUCAGCUGGGCCGAGUUGGGCCUGAGAUUCUGCAUUUCAAACAAGCUCCCAGUUGAUGCCACU